CUCAGUGCUCGAGAGGCCUAGAACCCCCGAUUGCCACCCGCAGCCUCUCUGCACAUCCCGGGAGCCAGCACAGUGUCACCACCGCCACUGUGGCUCAGUGUCCUUUUUUAAAGUCCUCUCGGCCACUCUCGCCACCUGUGAGCAGAGGCAGUUUUGCAGAGAAGCCACUGUCCCAUUCAACUGGAAAGAGGAGAACUCCCAGUACAUGGUCAAGGACAAACUCCCACCCUGUCCAGAAGAGAUCCUGCAGAGAAGACUAGGCAUGGCUGAGAAGCUCGGCUCUGGAGAUGGACCAAGCAUGACCCUCAGGACCGGUAAAGGCUUCGCAAACAUCACACAUUGCAAAAGAAAUCACUUAUCUGACCUACAGAAAUGAAAACCAAGGUUCGAUUUCACUGCACGAGUCCUAAACGAACAACAAAACUGGGCAGUUGAUUUCAUCCAAAUGCCAGUCUGAUUUUGC
rnacentral:lncRNA from 1 species